rnacentral:lncRNA from 1 species
GCGGCCGCGGAGCUCCGGGUGCCGCCGCGUCCCCAGCGCCCCGGCCGGCCCCUCUGGGCGGCCUGCGGGGGCGGCGCAGUUGCGAAACUGAGUGCCUGUGUAGAUCAUCCUAGAAUACCUGUGUGGUGCUGUCCUUCCUCAAGACUACCUCAUUCUCACUGGCUCGGAGACUCCUGCCUGCUGAGGAGAGUGGUAGAGGCACAGAAGAUGAUGAGGCUGUUGAACUGUGGAGGCAUAGAUUAGAGUGACGUGGUCACAAGCCAAGGAACACCUGAAGCCACCAACAGCUUGAAAAACAAGGAAAGCUUUCUCUCCUGCAACCAUUGGAGGGACCCUGGCCCAGCUGGCACUUUGAUUUCAGCCCAGUGAAAGUGAUUUUGAGCUUCUGACCCCCAGAACUAUGAGAGGAAAAUUUUUGUUGUUUUUAUGCUCCCCCAGUUUGUGGUAAUUUGCUACUGCAUCUCCAGGAAACUACUGCACUUUGUACUGAAACAAAUGUAAAAAUAGAU